rnacentral:lncRNA from 1 species
UGAUUUAAAAUUUUAAUGUCAUAUUAUUACAUUUUGUAAGAUUUUUAUUUUCAGCCGUUGAUUUUGAGCCCCUUCGUUCACUAGGCAAAUGAUAUCGUAAAAUCAUAAAAUUUAUUUUCUAGGUACUUCAAAUGCUCUAGAUUAAGUUUAACGGAGCCGAUCGACGAUUCGAAAGUCGCAACAUCGAAAACGAGCUGGAAGCACGGAAGGCUCCGUGCUUCCGAUAGCAUAGUAGCCUCACUCAUAUAUAUAUAUAUAUCGAGUCCGGCUACUAUACUUUUAUGAGUAUUGGCUCCCUUAUACUCAUAAGUUUUUUGCCCUUAGAUUUAUUCCAUUGAUCAUUUCCACCCGUUGGAUCAUACUAUUCAACCAACUACCCAUUAACCCUAGGGGACUACUACCAUUCUAAGUGGGGACCACCAUCAUCCUAACCACACAUCCCAUCAAUCAAUGGUUAAAAAUUUAUGAGUAUAAUGGAGUCCAUACUCAAGAGUAUAGUAGCCCAAGCCUAUAUAUAUCUAUAUAUGUACUUUCCCAUCCUUUUCUUUUGCGCGCUCUCUCUCUCUCUAUAUAAUUAAGCAGCACAAAUCCCCUUCAAACCAACCAACCAAGCCAACAUCGCUUAAUU